rnacentral:tRNA from 1 species
GGCCAGGUGGCAGAGUGGUCAAAUGCACCGGUCUGUAAAACCGGCGGGCGAUGCCCUUCGGGGGUUCAAAUCCCUCCCUGGCCA